rnacentral:rRNA from 1 species
GACGAACGCUGGCGGCGUGCUUAACACAUGCAAGUCGAACGGAAAGGCCCUGCUUUUGUGGGGGGCUCGAGUGGCGAACGGGUGAGUAACACGUGAGUAACCUGCCCUUGACUUUCGGAUAACUUCAGGAAACUGGGGCUAAUACCGGAUAGGAGCUCCUGCUGCAUGGUGGGGGUUGGAAAGUUUCGGCGGUUGGGGAUGGACUCGCGGCUUAUCAGCUUGUUGGUGGGGUAGUGGCUUACCAAGGCUUUGACGGGUAGCCGGCCUGAGAGGGUGACCGGCAACAUUGGGACUGAGAUACGGCCCGGACUCCUACGGGAGGCAGCAGUGGGGAAUAUUGCACAAUGGGCGGAAGCCUGAUGCAGCAACGCCGCGUGCGGGAUGACGGCCUUCGGGUUGUAAACCGCUUUCGCCUGUGACGAAGCGUGAGUGACGGUAAUGGGUAAAGAAGCACCGGCUAACUACGUG